rnacentral:tRNA from 1 species
UCCCAGCUGGCUCAGUGGGUACAGCACAGGACUCUUGAUCUUGGGUUGUAAGUUUGAGCCCCACGUUGGGAG